GGCUCAACAAUGCUUGAUUCCCAUGAUUCCCUGGGAAAAGUCCACAUCACCAACAGGAAACGGAUCGGCGGCUACCCACAGUUUAGGGAUGAAGAGUGUCAUCUGGCCACUGUGAUCUACUUGGGUGAUCGAAGCAACCAAUGUGUAGACUUCUACUGGCCUGUGAACUUCUUGGGGCCGGUACCACGUGUGUUUUAUUCAAUGCUUUAAAUCCAAAACAGCUCAGUUCUUAGACCUGGCAGAGAGCAAAUAUUUUUGUUGAGUGGCAGGAUUAAUGAAUCCAGUCACAACUUAUGGAGGUGGUAUGACUUAAUCUUUUAGAGAUUUUUUUUCCCUUAUGAAAUGAAGGACAAUUCUCUGGAAAAUUCACUUUAGCAUACUUUAAUAGAAUCACUCAAACAUUC